rnacentral:rRNA from 1 species
AGCAGUCGCCGCGGUAAUACGUAGGGUGCAAGCGUUAAUCGGAAUUACUGGGCGUAAAGCGUGCGCAGGCGGUUCGCUAAGACAGAUGUGAAAUCCCCGGGCUUAACCUGGGAACUGCAUUUGUGACUGGCGGGCUAGAGUAUGGCAGAGGGGGGGUGGAAUUCCACGUGUAGCAGUGAAAUGCGUAGAGAUGUGGAGGAACACCGAUGGCGAAGGCAGCCCCCUGGGCCAAUACUGACGCCCUUGCACGAAAGCGUGGGGAGCAAACAGGAUUAGAUACCCCCGUAGUCCCUGUCUCUUAUA